rnacentral:rRNA from 1 species
GACGAACCGUGCGAACGUUGUUCGGAAUCACUGGGCGUAAAGGGAGCGUAGGCGGGUUUCUAAGUCAGGUGUUUAAUCCCGGGGCCCAACCCCGGACAGGCACUUGAAACUGGGAAUCUUGAAUAGUGGAGAGGUCAGUGGAAUUGGGGGUGUAGCGGUGGAAUGCGUAGAGAUCCCCAAGAACACCAGUUGCGAAGGCGGCUGACUGGACACAUAUUGACGCUGAGGCUCGAAAGCAUGGGGAGCAAACAGG